rnacentral:rRNA from 1 species
AGAGUUUGAUCCUGGCUCAGGAUGAACGCUGGCGGCGUGCUUAACACAUGCAAGUCGAACGAACCUUCGGGUUAGUGGCGGACGGGUGAGUAACGCGUGAGAAUCUGCCCUCAGGAGGGGGAUAACGGCUGGAAACGGCCGCUAAUACCCCAUAUGCCGAGAGGUGAAAUGAAUUUCGCCUGAGGAUGAGCUCGCGUCUGAUUAGCUAGUUGGUGUGGUAAAGGCUCACCAAGGCUUCGAUCAGUAGCUGGUCUGAGAGGAUGAUCAGCCACACUGGGACUGAGACACGGCCCAGACUCCUACGGGAGGCAGCAGUGGGGAGUUUUCCGCAAUGGGCGCAAGCCUGACGGAGCAACGCCGCGUGAGGGAUGAAGGCCUCUGGGCUGUAAACCUCUUUUAUCAAGGAAGAAGAUCUGACGGUACUUGAUGAAUAAGCCACGGCUAAUUCCGUGCCAGCAGCCGCGGUAAUACGGGAGUGGCAAGCGUUAUCCGGAAUUAUUGGGCGUAAAGCGUCCGCAGGCGGUCUUGUAAGUCUGUCGUUAAAGCGUGGAGCUUAACUCCAUUUAAGCGAUGGAAACUGUAAGACUAGAGUGUGGUAGGGGCAGAGGGAAUUCCCGGUGUAGCGGUGAAAUGCGUAGAUAUCGGGAAGAACACCAGUGGCGAAGGCGCUCUGCUGGGCCAUAACUGACGCUCAUGGACGAAAGCCAGGGGAGCGAAAGGGAUUAGAUACCCCUGUAGUCCUGGCCGUAAACGAUGAACACUAGGUGUCGGGGGAAUCGACCCCCUCGGUGUCGUAGCCAACGCGUUAAGUGUUCCGCCUGGGGAGUACGCACGCAAGUGUGAAACUCAAAGGAAUUGACGGGGGCCCGCACAAGCGGUGGAGUAUGUGGUUUAAUUCGAUGCAACGCGAAGAACCUUACCAGGGUUUGACAUCCUGCGAAUCUCUUGGAAACGAGAGAGUGCCUUCGGGAACGCAGUGACAGGUGGUGCAUGGCUGUCGUCAGCUCGUGUCGUGAGAUGUUGGGUUAAGUCCCGCAACGAGCGCAACCCACGUCGUUAGUUGCCAGCAUUUAGUUGGGCACUCUAGCGAGACCGCCGGUGAUAAACCGGAGGAAGGUGUGGACGACGUCAAGUCAUCAUGCCCCUUACAUCCUGGGCUACACACGUACUACAAUGCUACGGACAAAGGGCAGCAAACUCGCGAGAGCUAGCAAAUCCCAUAAACCGUGGCUCAGUUCAGAUCGUAGGCUGCAACUCGCCUACGUGAAGGAGGAAUCGCUAGUAAUCGCAGGUCAGCAUACUGCGGUGAAUACGUUCCCGGGCCUUGUACACACCGCCCGUCACACCAUGGAAGUUGGCCACGCCCGAAGCCGUUACUCCAACCCUUGUGGAGGAGGAUGUCGAAGGUGGGGCUGAUGACUGGGGUGAAGUCGUAACAAGGUAGCCGUACCGGAAGGUGCGGCUGGAUCACCUCCUAACAGGGAGAC